UUGUCUCACAUGCUGGGGGCAGAGCCCAAGGCCAGGAUAAAGGGCCUUGGGUCCAGAGCCCUUCCAAGCACUCCUUUCCUGAGGUGUUGACAGACCCAGUGCUGCUUGUGCACCGCUCCUGACCCCACCAGCCGAGAUGUCCUGCCAGCAGAACCAGCAGCAGUGCCAGCCCCCUCCCAAGUGUCCCACCCCCAAGUGCCCCCCCAAGUGUCCCCCAAAGUGCCCCCCAGUCUCUUCCUGCUGCAGUGUCAGCUCUGGGGGCUGCUGCGGCUCCAGCUCUGGGGGUGGCGGCUGCUGCAGCUCUGGGGGUGGGGGCUGCUGCACCUCUGGGGGUGGCGGCUGCUGCCUGAGCCACCACAGGCGACGCAGGUCCCACCGUCACAGACACCAGAGCUCUGGCUGCUGCAGCCAGCCCUCGGGGGGCUCCGGGUGCUGUGGAGGAGGCAGCGGUCAGUCGUCUGGAGGCUGCUGCUGAUGUGGACCCUGAGGCAAGAAGAGCAGAAAUAGAGGCAGAAAGGGACAAGGUCAUCUUCCGUUGGUCUACCUGUGCUGCUGAGACAUUUUAGUGAAGAUUUCAAACUCUGUUCUUGAGGAUUCUUCUUACCUGAAAUCCAGAAAUCUGUGUCCUCUCUUAAAAACUCAUCUAAAGCCUGAUCCCAUGUCUGCAGCCUGCCCUGGGAACCCCAGGUAGUAAUUCCUAUGUCAUUCCACAGAUAAUUUCCUCGGCAGUCCCCUACCUGAAGCAAAACAAUAAAAGAAUCUGCUCACCA